GUAGGUGGCAAGCGUUGUCCGGAAUUAUUGGGCGUAAAGCGCGCGCAGGCGGUUCUUUAAGUCUGAUGUGAAAGCCCACGGCUCGACCGUGGAGGGUCAUUGGAAACUGGAGAACUUGAGUACAGAAGAGGAAAGCGGAAUUCCACGUGUAGCGGUGAAAUGCGUAGAGAUGUGGAGGAACACCAGUGGCGAAGGCGGCUUUCUGGUCUGUAACUGACGCUGAGGCGCGAAAGCGUGGGGAGCAAACAGGGAUUAGAUACCCUGGUAGUCCACGCCGUAAACGAUGAGUGCUAAGUGUUAGGGGGUUUUCGCCCCCUUAGUGCUGCAGCUAACGCAUUAAGCACUCCGCCUGGGGAGUACGGCCGCAAGGCUG
rnacentral:rRNA from 1 species